GAUUUCCUAGACUCUUAUGCCGGUACAUUGCCUUUUCCAACGUCAAUCGGAUCCAAGUAGUUAAGCUAAAUCCAUCCAAGUAAUUAUGCUUCAAGUCAAACGAUAUUCAGUAAAAGUUUUCUGGUUCAUCUCAUCUAAGAAGGCACGUCGUGGUAUUUGAAACAAAGCAACAAAGCUUAGCCAGCUGCAUAUUUGUAAUUGCCGAAGGCUCUGAUGUAAAUUAGCAACAAUGCAAUGUCAGCAAAGAUCAGCAGCCUACUAUGCCUACCAAUGCUGCUUAUGCGCGCCUUGUAGUACAGAUAAUAAACAAUUUGCAAACAACGUGGGAUUUAAAUAAUAACUAUAAUUAUUGGCAUAUCGCAUGUGUAUAGUGCCUGCUGAUGUUUAUUGACUACUUAAUUUUUAUGAACGCCUGAUAGUUCUGCAAUAAAUAAGCAAUUUUUUAUUACAUUUUUAAAUUAUUGGUAAUUAACAACAAUUUUAUUAAAAUUAAUUACAAAUACUUUUAUUCGAGGGAG